GAUGAACGCUGGCGGCGUGCCUAAUACAUGCAAGUAGAACGCUGAAGCUUGGUGCUUGCACCGAGCGGAUGAGUUGCGAACGGGUGAGUAACGCGUAGGUAACCUGCCUCUUAGCGGGGGAUAACUAUUGGAAACGAUAUCUAAUACCGCAUAAAAGUCGAUAUCGCAUGAUAUUGAUUUGAAAGGUGCAAAUGCAUCACUAAGAGAUGGACCUGCGUUGUAUUAGCUAGUUGGUGAGGUAACGGCUCACCAAGGCGACGAUACAUAGCCGACCUGAGAGGGUGAUCGGCCACACUGGGACUGAGACACGGCCCAGACUCCUACGGGAGGCAGCAGUAGGGAAUCUUCGGCAAUGGGGGCAACCCUGACCGAGCAACGCCGCGUGAGUGAAGAAGGUUUUCGGAUCGUAAAGCUCUGUUGUAAGAGAAGAACGAGUGUGAGAGUGGAAAGUUCACACUGUGACGGUAACUUACCAGAAAGAGACGGCUAACUACGUG
rnacentral:rRNA from 1 species